rnacentral:rRNA from 1 species
GGAUUGCCUCAGUAACGGCGAGUGAAGCGGCAAAAGCUCAAAUUUGAAAUCUGACCUUUCGGGUCCGAGUUGUAAUUUGCAGAGGAUGUUUCGGGCAAGAUCUGGGCCCAAGUUCCUUGGAACAGGACGUCACAGAGGGUGAGAAUCCCGUGCGAGGUCCGUGAUCGCGCCCAUGUGAAACUCCUUCGACGAGUCGAGUUGUUUGGGAAUGCAGCUCAAAAUGGGAGGUAAAUUCCUUCUAAAGCUAAAUAUUGGCCAGAGACCGAUAGCGCACAAGUAGAGUGAUCGAAAGAUGAAAAGCACUUUGAAAAGAGAGUUAAAAAGCAUGUGAAAUUGUUGAAAGGGAAGCGCUUGCAGCCAGACUUGCACCGGGGGGGUUCAGCCGUCGUUCUCGUCGGUGUAUUUCCCCUCGAUCAGGCCAGCAUCAGUUUGGGUGGAAGGUGAAAGGCCGUGGGAAUGUACCAUCCUCCGGGAUGACUUAUAGCCCUCGGCGUAAUGCUUCCCACCCAGACUGAGGUACGCGUUCGCUCGGAUGCUGGCGUAAUGGCUGCAAGCGGCCCGUCUUGAAACACGGACCAAGGAGUCUAACAUCUAUGCGAGUAUUCGGGUGUCAAACCCCUAUGCGUAAUGAAAGUGAACGGAGGUGGGAACCUUUCAGGGGCACCAUCGACCGAUCCAGAUGUCUUCGGAUGGAUUUGAGUAAGAGCAUAGCUGUUGGGACCCGAAAGAUGGUGAACUAUGCCUGAAUAGGGUGGUAAGUCCAAACUCCGUUGAUGGACAGCCUCACGGACGGAGACAUCGCAUGUUGAAAUGCGGCAAUCAACCACGAUUGUCGAUGUUGUGUCACUGUUCUAGACAAAAACCCCUCUGUCCCGAUAACUUUUACUAACCUUUUAAUAGAAGCCAGAGGAAACUCUGGUGGAGGCUCGCAGCGGUUCUGACGUGCAAAUCGAUCGUCAAAUUUGGGUAUAGGGGCGAAAGACUAAUCGAACCAUCUGGUAGCUGGUUCCUGUCGAAGUUUCCCUCAGGAUAGCAGUAACGUUUUCAGUUUUAUGAGGUAAAGCGAAUGAUUAGAGGCCUUGGGGUUGAAACAACCUUAACCUAUUCUCAAACUUUAAA